GAAAUCACCAAUCCAAAGUUCGGCUUCAAGGAGUUUUUUUUAACAUAAGGAAACCUACAAAACAAAAUCUCGAAAUCUACCUUAUAUAGUUUCAGACAAUUUCUCCAAACAAAGGAAAUGUGAAUGAAAAAAGUUUACCAUUGCUUAACAUGAUUUUACUGAAGAAAUGGCCUGUUUAACUGUUUGUUAGUUAUUCUACCAUAAAUGACAUGUAUGUUUGACAUCAUUGUACAAUGUAGUUAUGAUAUGUUUGGGCUGUAUACAUGAACAUAUAUGAUCAUGGUGAUUCUACAGCUGGUACCUCUUUGUUGAAAGAAUCUCUAACUUAAUGAGAUUAGCAAGCAAUUAAUUUUCUGUACCGAUGUACAUUUAUAUAUGUGUGCAGCUUCCUUCUCAAUAACUUUUUAAUCAUGGUAUGAUUGUUUGAUUCUAGUUUUCUGCUUUGAGUAUGAAUUCAAUCUCUCAGUUUUCACAUGUAUUCACAAAAAAAAAAUCCUCUCUACAUGCAUUGUUCAUUAUGUCAUUGAACUUUGAAUUUUGUUGGUUGAUACAUACGAGAGGAGAAAAUGUUGAUAGUAAGAAGUAUUGUUUAAUAGAUGUUCAACACACAUGUACCUGAAAAUCACAGACCUGCAAAGCAUGAUAAUGCUAAAACAUCUGUUGUAAACACACUGAUAUAUAAUAAAUUAUUUUUAAA
rnacentral:misc_RNA from 1 species